GCUCUGGUGGCUUUGUGGUCAGAGCGUUCGCCUCGGGUGCAGGAGGUUGCGGGUUCGAACCCAGCCGAGUCAUAACAAAGUCAGAACA